rnacentral:rRNA from 1 species
AGCGAACGCUGGCGGCAGGCCUAACACAUGCAAGUCGAACGGAUCCUUCGGGAUUAGUGGCGGACGGGUGAGUAACACGUGGGAACGUGACCUUUGGUUCGGAACAACUCAGGGAAACUUGAGCUAAUACCGGAUGUGCCCUUCGGGGGAAAGAUUUAUCGCCAUUGGAGCGGCCCGCGUCUGAUUAGCUAGUUGGUGAGGUAAAGGCUCACCAAGGCGACGAUCACUAGCUGGUCUGAGAGGAUGAUCAGCCACAUUGGGACUGAGACACGGCGCAAACUCCUACGGGAGGCAGCAGUGAGGAAUCUUGCGCAAUGGGCGAAAGCCUGACGCAGCCAUGCCGCGUGAAUGAUGAAGGUCUUAGGAUUGUAAAAUUCUUUCACCGGGGACGAUAAUGACGGUACCCGGAGAAGAAGCCCCGGCUAACUUCGUGCCAGCAGCCGCCGCCGUAA